UGGGGAAUUUUGGACAAUGGGGGAAACCCUGAUCCAGCCAUCCCGCGUGUGCGAUGAAGGCCUUCGGGUUGUAAAGCACUUUUGGCAGGAAAGAAACGUCAUGGGUUAAUACCCCGUGAAACUGACGGUACCUGCAGAAUAAGCACCGGCUAACUACGUGCCAGCAGCCGCGGUAAUACGUAGGGUACAAGCGUUAAUCGGAAUUACUGGGCGUAAAGCGUGCGCAGGCGGUUCGGAAAGAAAGAUGUGAAAUCCCAGAGCUCAACUUUGGAACUGCAUUUUUAACUACCGGGCUAGAGUGUGUCAGAGGGAGGUGGAAUUCCGCGUGUAGCAGUGAAAUGCGUAGAUAUGCGGAGGAACACCGAUGGCGAAGGCAGCCUCCUGGGAUAACACUGACGCUCAUGCACGAAAGCGUGGGGAGCAAACAGG
rnacentral:rRNA from 1 species